rnacentral:lncRNA from 1 species
GGCUGCGCUGGAUCAUCUUUGGUCAAGGCAGAAGAACUCUCAGCUGCCUUCGUCGGUCCUUUCCCAUUACCUGGUGGUUUAGGUGGCCCAGUUUUGGACAUUGGAGGCGGUGGCGGGGGCCCAGGUGCCUUCUUACCGGGAGGAGGAGGAGGUGGAGGUGCCUUCUUAGCGGGAGGAGGAGGAGGUGGAGGUGCUUUCUUAGCCGGUAUAGGUGGUGGAGGCGGAGGUGGUGCCCCAGGAGGCGGUGGAGGUUGGUUAGCUUGAACAUGUGGUACGGUUUGGUUGACUGUAAGAGGCAGCGGAGAUGUAGAGGAAGACCCAAUUGGUGCCGGGAAUUG